AGAGCCUGCGCAGUUCCCCUCAAAGCCAGGGGCUCUAGGGACGUUGUGUCCAGAAUGUCUGUGGGUUUUGCCACAGCCACACAUGAAAGCCCGAGCUACAGGCAUAUGGAUGGGUCUGCCAGGGGCUAAUGCGCACAACUCAAUACUCUUCAGACAUUCAUCGAGUACCUCCCAGGCUGGGUGAUGGACUGGAUCUGAGAACCAGGAGAGUCACCCUGAAGCCGAUGGUUGAAACAUCUCUGCAGCUGCUGGCACAGGUCUCGGGAUGGGAUGUCUCUGCUUCGCCAGACUGCCUGCUCCCCCGUAGAUGAGUCCCUGGAGGAGUUCGGGCUCAUGGCCCCUCGGACGCAAACCAUUAAGCCACGCUGCAGCAUAAAGGACCAGAAAGGUGAAGCCUGAUGCCACCGUCUCUGCCUUCCUUGGGGUGGGACUGGGGUGCGCCUGGGGUGCUAUCUGUGGAAUCAAUGGGCUCUUAGAGGAGGGACUUGGCAUGUUGACUAAAGAAAUUCUUCUUAGGGGAAUGUGAUUCAUUUUAUUAUACUGGGAGAUAUAGAAAUGCAUAUGAAUGGGCAAUUUUAUCGCUUGUUUUGAGCAUGACGCUUUAUUAGAGUAGUGGGUGGGCUGUGUUGUACCCAUUACCCGCUGUUAACAGU
ensembl:lncRNA